UCCGCGCUCCUGCUAUUUUCAUUAAUUUUAAUAGUUUAAUUGCGUUAAACAAUUGUAAAUUUAUAAUAAAUUGCUUCGUUAAGUUUUUGUGAAUCGAUAGAGUGGUAAUUUAUUGGGCAAUGUUGCUAAUUUUAGUCAAAAAAUGUAUUUUGCCGGUCGGAGCUGUCAAGCCCUUUGUCUUGUCUACCAAGUUUUGCAAAUAAAUCAUUAAGAUCCAAAAAGGUGGCUAUAAGUUAUUUGGACAAUAUGGGUUGAACAAUAGUUGAGUCAGUUAUAUUUCAUUGGUAUAACAGUCAAGCCGGGAUCAUGUUUAAAUACAUAUGAGAUACUGUAAAUCAACUCAUGAUGUAGAUGUUAAUAAACACGUCAAUUUAUUUCAACAAAACUAAUUGUUGUUGUACCAAUUAAAGUAUCUAAUGUAACAAUGAUGCUCAUGCUAAUAAAGGUACGUUGGUUUGGUUAUUCUUCGACAUUUAAAAUCAUCCAGUAAAUUUUAUAUGAAAUUCAUUCAAUUGUUAUUUAUGUAAAUUGAGUGUAUUUCAUAUGCUAUGACUGAACCGCAAAAUGAAAAAAAUUUAGUCAAAGAUUAUUCACUAUUAAAUAAACUAUAAUAGUAGAUUAAUUUUGAUUUAAAGCUUUAUCAGUUUGCGUUAUUUAUUAAAAAUAUACCAGAGCCAAUUGUCAAACGGUUACAUUGUUACAUUGAGCCAAAGCUUAAGAAAAAAAGUAAAAGCGUAAUUAGAUAAGCUCAUAGAAUUUGUUAACUAUAAACUAAAGAAAAAAAAAAGUGUCAAGUCAACAAGAACUGAUGCUUGACAAGUGACAAGACCACAUGAUAAAAAUGUCAAGAACCACAGAUUGGCUUCCAAGGAUAUUGAUGUAGAUCAACUAUUAAGACCAAGACAGCAUUUAUUAAAAGGGACAACAGUACCAUAUAGUGAUGACAUGGUAUUACAUAUAUUUCAACACCAUAAAAUGCAUUCAAAACAACACCAGUAGCAGAUCAACAUCAUGUUGACUGAAAUGAGUCAUGUUGUUGUAUCUUGUUGUCAUAAUUCAUCUGUGAACCCUGUGAAGUACAUAUUUGUAAUACGUCUAGUUAUACAAUACAUUGAAAUUACA